rnacentral:tRNA from 1 species
GUCCCCAUCGUCUAGCCUGGCCUAGGACACCGCCCUUUCGAGGCGGCGACCGGGGUUCGAAUCCCCGUGGGGACG